rnacentral:hammerhead_ribozyme from 1 species
GUACUGAUGAAGAGUCCCAAACUAGGAUGAAACGAUUGUUCAGUAC